rnacentral:rRNA from 1 species
AGGUGUGAUCAUACCAGCGUUAAUGCGUGGGAUCCCAUCAGAACUCUGCAGUUAAGCGCGCUUGGGAUAUAGUAGUACUGGGAUGGGUGACCUCUUGGGAAGUCCUAGUGUUGCAACCU